rnacentral:lncRNA from 1 species
CUGUUUUCUUUUGUUCGAACCCUUUAGAUAUAAAGCAUAUAGGUCCUUUUGUCUUGUCAUCAGAUUGCCAAAAUGCUCGUCGUAAACCGCAAAGCAGUACGUUAUAAUACAACUGUUUGCCUCAGAAAUCUAAAUUGGUAACUAGAGUGUGUUUAAAUGCUAUUUUAGGGUAGACACCGCUAACGUCGCCAAACACACACAACAGAUUUAUCACGCUGUGAAUGUUUCAUAUACAAUAUAUGUAUGUUGUCGGAAAAUAUAUUAAUAUAUAAAAUAUAUAUAUUUGUAUGAGCUUUAGAAACAGGACGAAAAGCAGGGAUCCGCCGAACUUUUCUCCUGUUUCGUAGCGAGUACAAAUAAAUUUUG